AACGAACGCUGGCGGCGUGGAUAAGACAUGCAAGUGGAACGCUGAUUGCCGGGUAGCAAUAUUCGGCAGUCGGAGUCGCGUAAGGGUGCGUAACACGUGGGUAAUCUACCGCGAAGACCGGAAUAACUUGCUGAAAGGCGAGCUAAGACCGGAUGUGAUUGCUUGGGGGCUUCCUCGGGCACUCAAAGUCGGGGACCGCAAGGCCUGGCACUUUGCGAUGAGCCCGCGGCCUAUCAGCUAGUUGGUGAGGUAACGGCCCACCAAGGCUUAGACGGGUAGCUGGUCUGAGAGGACGACCAGCCACACUGGAACUGAGACACGGUCCAGACACCUACGGGAGGCAG
rnacentral:rRNA from 1 species